UACGUAGGAUGCAAGCGUUGUCCGGAUUUACUGGGCGUAAAGCGCGCGCAGGCGGCGAGGUAAGUAAGGUGUGAAAUAUCCCGGCUCAACCGGGAGGGUGCACUUUAGACUGCUUUGCUUGAGGUCGGUAGAGGGGGGGUGGAAUUGCUGGUGUAGCGGUGAAAUGCGCAGAUAUCAGGAGGAACACCGAUGGCGAAGGCAGGUCUCUGGGCCAUAACUGACGCUGAGAAGCGAAAGCAUGGGGAGCGAACAGG
rnacentral:rRNA from 1 species